UCCUACGGGAGGCAGCAGUGAGGAAUAUUGGUCAAUGGGCGGGAGCCUGAACCAGCCAAGUAGCGUGAAGGAUGACUGCCCUACGGGUUGUAAACUUCUUUUGUUUGGGAAUAAAAGACGCUACGUGUAGCGUUGUGCAUGUACCUUACGAAUAAGCAUCGGCUAAUUCCGUGCCAGCAGCCGCGGUAAUACGGAAGAUGCG
rnacentral:rRNA from 1 species